ensembl:lncRNA
GUGAGUGAUCGGGACCAACACCCCGCCUCCCGGACCCGGGGCCGGGUCGGGCUAGGAGAGCCGCUCGCUCUUUGUUCGUCUGAAGGAGAGCCUAAGAUGGCGCAGGUCGGAGGAAGGGCUGGCUGUGGGGAGGAACCACCGGGGUUCGGGUCCAGUCUCCUGGCUCCUCGGAGUACUUUGAGCUCAAGUGUCCGGGUCCAGGCUCCUGGCUCCUCUGGGUACUUUGGUGCUCCGGGUCCUGGCUCCGGGUCCAGGCUCCUGGAUCCUCGGGGUACUUUGGGCUCCGGACCGAUUUACCUCCAAUCGGCUCGGAAAACCCCCUCGAAUGAGUCCGAGUCCCUCCCUGUUUGUGGAGUCACAACAAAGUUGAGAGGAUCCCUGGGCUGUUGUGGCUCUAGUCCGGGUCUGAUGGGUCUCUUUAUUCGGCUCUAGUCCGGGUCUGGUCUGUCCCUGUGUGUGGCUCAAGUCCGGGUCUAGUGGGACUCUUUAUGUGUCUCUAGUCCGAGUCCGGUUCGGUCUCUUUAUGUAGUUCUAAUCCGGGUCUGGUGGUUCUCUUUAUGUGGCUCUAGUCCGGGUCAGGUGUGUCUCUCUAUGUGGCUCUAGUCCGUGUCUGCUGGGUCUCUGUAUGUGGCUCUACUCCGUGUCUGCUGGGUCUCUGUAUGUGGCUCUACUCCGGGUAUGGUGGGUCUCUUUAUGUGGCUCUUGUCCGAGUCUGCUCUGUGGUUCACGGGUCUGCUGAGUCGAGUCCUAACCCAAGGUUUAGCUGCCCUGGGGUUAAGAUAUUUCUUCCUGGAUCUUCCGGCUUGGUUACCGUUAUCUUUCUGCUCCACUUAUUCAAUCUUUCCACGGUGCUCCAGAACAAAAAUCACUACAUAACAAGUUGUAGUAAUCAUUUUCCUGGGUGGAGGUCAUCUCCAGUUCGCCUUUUCUUUAUGGCAACAACAGGAAGCGGUGAGUCUGUUGAAUACAAUGCUAACUAUUAAACCUCCAUGGUGGAUAUGACUGAAUAGAAUAAAGCCACAGACAUGUUCUUAUGGUUAGCCUCCUGGCUACCAAAUAGCUGAACAAAUGUUUUGUUGACACACUGAAGGUUAGGGUUAGUAAGGGUAGGUUAGAAGGGAGCGGUCCUAUGUUCCCUGGUCUGAGGGAGAGACGUCGGACGACCCCAGUCUAUUCAUAAUAUUGUAAUGACCACGGAAGAGGCAGUGAAUGAAGUAUUGAUUAGACAGAGAUUUAUUAGAUAGCCCUACCUAAUAAACCGUUGGAACACACAAGACCGCAAACCAUAGCAACGCCGGUAAACAAACCCCGAGAAGCCCAAUCCCUACGAGAGCUCCCCGCGCUACGGCCGUCCGGCGGCGCACAGAGCUUUUGGCCGUGAUAUUAUGUGUACCAUUAUAUUAUGUUAUAUACUAUUAUAUAUAGAGCUCCGUGAGUCACAAACGGCAACAAUCACUUUCUCCUCCAUACUGCAGUUCACCCGGACUGCACUGAGUUGGCUGGUUGAACGCUGAUUGGCUGUUACGUUACACAUGUCACUCAGUGGCCACGCUGUUGAACGCUGAUUGGCUGUCAUCACGCGAAUGUCGCGUCAAAGUUUAAAUAUUUUUAAAGAUUGAUGGAUUGCGGGGAACAUAGGAUAAUUUUCCCAGAAAAGGGUCCUAUGUUCCCCUGU